rnacentral:rRNA from 1 species
CCUACGGGUGGCUGCAGUGGGGAAUAUUGGACAAUGGGCGAAAGCCUGAUCCAGCCAUGCCGCGUGUGUGAAGAAGGCCUUCGGGUUGUAAAGCACUUUCAGUGGGGAAGAAAGCCUUGGGGCUAAUACCCUCGAGGAAGGACAUCACCCACAGAAGAAGCACCGGCUAACUCCGUGCCAGCAGCCGCGGUAAUACGGAGGGUGCGAGCGUUAAUCGGAAUUACUGGGCGUAAAGCGCGCGUAGGCGGUCUGAUAAGCCGGUUGUGAAAGCCCCGGGCUCAACCUGGGAACGGCAUCCGGAACUGUCAGGCUAGAGUGCAGGAGAGGAAGGUAGAAUUCCCGGGGUAGCGGUGAAAUGCGUAGAGAUCGGGAGGAAUACCAGUGGCGAAGGCGGCCUUCUGGACUGACACUGACGCUGAGGUGCGAAAGCGUGGGUAGCAAACAGGAUUAGAUACCCUUGUAGUC